rnacentral:rRNA from 1 species
GACGAACGCUGGCGGCGUGCUUAACACAUGCAAGUCGAACGGAAAGGCCCUGCUUUUGUGGGGUGCUCGAGUGGCGAACGGGUGAGUAACACGUGAGUAACCUGCCCUUGACUUUGGGAUAACUUCAGGAAACUGGGGCUAAUACCGGAUAGGAGCUCCUGCUGCAUGGUGGGGGUUGGAAAGUUUCGGCGGUUGGGGAUGGACUCGCGGCUUAUCAGCUUGUUGGUGGGGUAGUGGCUUACCAAGGCUUUGACGGGUAGCCGGCCUGAGAGGGUGACCGGCCACAUUGGGACUGAGAUACGGCCCAGACUCCUACGGGAGGAAGCAGUGGGGAAUAUGGCACAAGGGGCGGAAGCCGGAUGCAGCAACGCCGCGUGCGGGAUGACGGCCUUCGGGUGGGAAACCGCUUUCGCCUGUGACGAAGCGUGAGGGACGGGAAUGGGUAAAGAAGCACCGGCGAACUACGU